CAAGUAAGAGAAAAAUUUGAAGCCAUUGAAUUGGAAUGUGAGCAUCUUCGAAAGGAGACCAACCUCAUAAUUCAACAGAGUAUGAGUACCCAAAUACGCCUUGCUUUGAUGUUUCAAAUUUUGAAAGCAAGAGAGAAUCAAGAGUUCGACAAGGCAGCCCAACUCACUUGUGCUCUCCGGUACUUCUCUUCGCAAUUCAUUAGUACAAUAUAUUUAAGCUUGAUCGCAUUUACUUUGCAUGUACAUUGUCAUGAAUACUUCGUAACACGAUAGCUAACAUUACCUCUUCUCGUUUCCUUGUCUAUUUUUACAGCGAAGUGAUAGCGAGAGAGAACCAACAAAGGAAUGCUUCGAAAAAUUAAAGGUUGGGUUGAGCUAUAUUGUUAUAUACCCCACAUUCCUAGGCCAACGUUUUCAUCCAAGUUCCGGAAAAAUCAAAUGUUCAAUGCCAUGUAUGGAAGUCUGAACUUUAAUUUGCAAUUAUCCUUAAAUUUAGAUCGUUAGUAGUAAGCUUAAUUAAAUAAAAGUUACUAUUGCAAACUGAGUAAUUCUAAUAUAUUUUCUUGAACCUAAUGCUUUGGUUCAUUCACUUCCUUUAAGAUUUGAAUGUCAAUAAAAUUGGGAUUCAAUUCUUAGUACUUGCAAAUUUUCUUUCUAUAAUUUACCUUUAGCCUUGGUUUAUUUUAUAUUAAAAAAAAUUAUAUAAUUUCUUUAUUAAAUGUUACAAAUCAUAUUAACAAACCAACUUUGUUCUUAAAUUUUUAAAUUUCAAAGGUAUGCGUGCAUGGUCAAGAUUACACGGGUAUCAAUACCAACCAAUUUUCAGAAAAUAUACGGAUAUCUAUAAAAAGUCUUCAUCGUUGAACUUUAUAUUGAAUAAAAAUUAAAGGUUUAUUUAGAUGAAUAGUGAGAUUAAUUUUAAUGAAAUUAAAAAUAAUAAUAAAAGUUAUUGUAACUGUAAUUAAAAAAAAUAGUUAUUGUUGCUGAAAAUAAGAAAAUUUAAUAAAAAAUUUAUAUUAAAUAAAUCUCAUUAAAAUUUGUAUUUAAAUUCAGUUGGUGGUGAUUAAAGCUUAAUUGCGUUUCACUCGAUGUGUAGUUCUAUCCAAUCGCUCACUAAUUCAAUAUAGUUGAAGAAGAAACUUAAAUAAGAUACGUGUAGAAAGUUAUCUUAAGAAUAAUAAUUUUUUAAUUAUAGUGCAAAUGGAUUCUUAGAAACAUAAUUUUCAAGAUAUAAUAUCUAUCAAAAAAGAACAAGAUUGCACUUCAAGCUCUUUUUUUUUUAAUACACUUAAACCAAAAUUAGAAAAAUGAGAGUGAAAGAUAAAAAUCUGAUUAUUUUUUGAGUGAAAAGAUGUGUUAAAAUGAAUCUUAAUGAAAGUAUUUAUAAAUCUCAAAAGAUGUUUGAAACACCAUUCCACGAAUAAAUAUCUUUUGGAUAAAGGAACAAGACCUUUAAUUGAAAGAUCAUGUCUAACGUUAUGAUUUUUGAGUUCUCAAAAUAGAUAGUUUGACAGCUCAAAACAGGCAAUUGAUUAUACAAAUUUGCCAUGCAACAGUUGAUUGCUCUGAAAAAGCAGUCGAUUGUUCAUGCCUAACUUUUGCCAAAAAAAUCACUCAAGGUCACUGACCAAUUUUGUUCAUAAGUAUUUGGAAGGGAAAUCGUUGCUCUUGCUGGCAGUUGAUAGUACUGCUUUAGUCAAAUUUCACUUCAAAGCUAUUUUUAAUUUCCAAACAUCAUGUUUUCAACACAUAUACAUAUUACGUGAUUUAAGAACCUUUUUGUUUUCAUUUAAACACUUAAAGAAAACAAUUCCUUUGGUAAUACAUACAACAUUCCCUCACUUAUUAUCUAAAAAUGCAAAUGUUUGCAAUCUUAAAGAAAAAUACAAUUUGGUUAAGACCUCUCCACUUUGGACAGUGAAUAUGCCAAUAUGCUCUAUGGUUGAUUGGAAAGCCUCAGCAAAAAAUAAAGUAAAAUCAGGAACUUAAAACUCUUUGUGAGGUGUUGAAUUCUUUUAAUCCAAUCAUGAUAAUGUUCUCAAUAAAUUGGAUGAUUGAUCUUACGAAGGCCUGGCCCACACACCUUUUAUACAAAAUGUCUAUUAGUUAAUUUCCAUCGAUCAUGGCAAACUCAACAUUCUUAAUAAAAGCUAGCCUAUUCAAAACGUAUGUGUCAUGGUCAGCUUUGGCUUGCCUUGGUCUUGCCAAGAGUACCCCGACGCAGGCAGCAGAUGACACGUAGUCCAUGGAAUGGUGAUCCCAAAGCAAGUGCGGGCAAGCAUGGGCCUUGGAGCAUAUAGUGUGGGCACUUUGGAGCCUAUUAAUCAGGUCGGAUGCUAGUCGAUGAAGCCGUAUGCAAUCAACUUUGAGUGGGUUGGUGGAGCAUGGAUGUAUAUUCUAACAUCAUUGGAGUCAAAAGGAAGAUCAUGGUGUUUUGAGUUUGCUGGAGUUGAGUUUGGAAGGGCUUGGGGGAAAAGUGUUCCUAUUUCAAGCCUUUUUAUGAUUUUUGGUAGCAUAACUCUAAAAGCUCAUAUACUUUAUAUAAAAAGGAUAUUUGGUAUCGGCUCUUCACUACCUCUGUAGCUAACCAAUUGGCGGGGGGCUUGCUAGUUUAAUGUGAGCAAUUCCUAGGCUCCACAUGUGCCUAAGUAGGUAAGUAUCGUCAGAUCAUGAGUAUGAAAUGGUGUCUCCUCAAGACAUGGUAAACUUAGGGGCAAUUUGGAUCAUAUCAUGCUUUGCUUUAGGCCAUAGGGUUAAGUCAUAACAUUUGAUAUGCCCUUUGGUUUCCCUUCCUUAAGUCAAAUUAUGUGUAACCAAGAAUCAUCGGGAGUGCUUAUGUAGGAGAGGCACCAAUAAGCCUAAGAGAUGAGUGGACUAGUAAGCAAGUAAGCUACUAGACCCUUAUGGUUACUUGGUAACAUGCGUAGAAGUGGGUUGUAGCUGAGGCAGCACAUAGGAGUAUCUAAUUAAUGCAGGCAUGAUGUUGAGCGUCCAUCAUGCAUGUGGCAACUAAAGUGUGGUUAAAGGGGUGAGGCCACAAGGUGCAAGCUUCAUGAAUAAUAAGAUGAGUCUAGUAUUGCUCCAAACUUAUUGUAAACUAGCAUAUGUGCCAUGCCUUAGGGUUCUAAGCACUAGAGCUAUGAAAUACAUGUGCGAACAUGGUGUUGGGUUCUCAUCAUGUGAAAAAAUGUUCGCCUAAUAGGACUCAAGGUUGCAUGCGUUUAAGUGAGUUCUUGUAGUUAGUACUUAAGAUUUUCAUGCUUGAGGGCACUAGAUUAGUGCUCGAGGCCACAUAGAGAUUGUAGGUUAGUGAUGUGAUGGAAGUUAAGUUCCUCCCUCGACAAGUUUGGGAAUGUUGCAAAUGACCCUAUGGGCCAAGUCAAGUAAGGCUAUCACAUGGAAUACCGUUGAACUAUAGUUGUCCAGAAGGAAAUGGGCUUACAAAAGGCUUACCUCGACUAUAUGUAGUUUUGGUGCUGUACAAUUGCAUGGCUUUAGCAUAAGGAACACCCAAUCCAUAACAUGUGAUAUUAAAACCAACUCUGGGGGUACUAGUAAUGCGCCUUGAGGAUGAUAGACCCUCGUUGGAGUAAAAAAAGAUGUCAUGGUCCAAUAGAGAAGCCAUGAAUCCCCUAUUGGCUGCAUAUUAUAAUUGGUCUUGGGAUAUAAGUGUUUAUACUACUUUCAACUUAUGAGAUGUCUUUUAUGAAACAAAUUGUGAGAUCCAGUGGGGUCAAAUUGGAUAAUACUUCACAAGUUGGUACAGACCAUGGCAUUUGGUAUCAAAACGGAGCUAGUGUCAUCCUUUGCACAAGCAUGAAAUUUUAAGUAAAUUCAUAAAUGAGAAAAAUCAAGUUUGUGCUAGCUCGUAAAGAGCUAUCAAGGUAAAAAUGCAGUACUGUGGCUAUAAGGACUUGAGAAUGAGUCAUUGAUGCAAGCUAUGGGAAAAUUGGCCUAGGUGCAAAGCCUUUGAGUAAGCUUUUAGUUUCCAAACAGAAGGGCACAAAAGUUUAGCCUUAACUAGUAGACAAUGUUAGCUUGUACGGGCAUUCAACGCUUUUUAGAUUGUGGUUGGGUACGAGUUAUAAUUGUAAAAUGGUGCACACCAUAUAAUUGCAUUAAGUUAGCCCACGAGGGCCAAAACGAGUCUUGUUCUUAAAAACAUGAGUUGUGCUUAUUAAGAGGAUGUUACUAACAUGUGCCUUUAUUAUAUGAUGUAGGUACCCUAGACGAGUAUCUGGGUUUCAAGCAAGGAGCAAUUCUACGGAGGUAAAUGAGUUUGAGAUGGUAAAAAAACUAAGCAAAUGGGUAGAUGGAGAAAGCCAUCUAAGUGUAUAUUGGUCAGUGGACCAUUUAAGCUUAUGUUGGCCGUUGGACCAUUUGAACUUAUGUUAGUCGUUGGACUAUAUUUGGCUUGGCCAAGAAAAGGCCAUAUAAGUUGAGUAAGUCAAUGGUUAUGGCAUUACAAGUCAAAUAUGGUCAAUGAAUUAGAAAAGUUGAGCAAGGCAGAGAGAUGUUGGUUGAAAUUAAGCUUAAAUGUGGAAAUUUUAAGUAAAAGUUGGCCAUUAUAAAGGCCUUAAGUCCUAUGGGUUGGUGAACCUUGGGUUUGAGUAGGUCAGAGGACCUUGUACUUAUAGUGGAUCAACAAAUCUUUAAGCAUCGAAUGGGCUUAUGUAAUGCCUUUAUUUGAAUUUUUACAAAGUGAAAUGCAUAAAGAUUAAAAGCAGAUGCGAGCUUGAGUAAGUGAAACUAUCGUUGAGACAUGGUUGUAUGUAGAGUCGAUCUUGAGUAAAAGUGAUUGCAUGUCAAACUAAGCCAAAGCAAUGGAGUCUAUGAGGUAUUUGAGCAAGGAUUAAGUUCGAGAUAAAUGAGAUUAUGCUGCUAUGAGUAGCAAUUAGCUAAAAGGUCACCCCUAGAGAGGAAACCUUGGAGUGGUUGAAAUGGCCUAAGUUGAGAGAUGACCAAAGUGUUUGAAUGCUUCUAUGUUAGAGGCAACUAAGGGUGAUGCAACAUGAAUGCGGUUGACUUAAACACCAUGUCUAGAGGGUGCAUCAAAUAAUUGGUGCCACAGGCGUACGAUUACUAUGAUGGGCAAUAUUCAGCAAGGUGCAACAUUAUACGAUAAAGCAAGAAAAGGUCAUUCAUUUUGCUAAGGAUCAUGUUCAACAAAGAUACCUCGAGGUUGUAACUUUGAUACCUUUAGUGAACUAGUGCAAUGGCAUAAAGUGAAGCCGCAGUUUAAAUUUAGAGCUCCAAGGGAAAAAUAGCACAAAAAGUGUAGAGAAGUGAAAGGAGCUUGGAUGAGACCCUCUUGACAACAAUAAUGGAAUGAACUAUAGGCAAUGCUUCAUUUGACGAGAUCACGGCGAAUCCUUGAAGAGGGUACAUAAGAGAGACAUAUAAAAAAAUGUCAAAUCUAUGCAACAUGAGAACUUGGGUGUGGUGUUAACGUCGAUAAAGGCAUCGACAUAGUAAAUAAAAAAGGAUGUCAUAGUCCGGCCUUGGUGUACUUUGGUCUUGCCAUGACUACCUUGAUGUGGGUAACAGACGAAACUUAGUCUAUAGGAUGAUGAUCCUAGAGCAAGUGUGUGAGCAAGUAUAGACUUUGAAAUAGGCCAUUAUAUAGGCAUCUUGGAGCUUAUUAGCCAGGUUGAUGCUAGUGGGUGAAGUUGUGUGCAGGCACCUUCAAGUGGGUUAAUAGAGCAUGGAUCUACAUUCUAGCAUCAUUAUAAUCAAGAUAAAGAUCAUGGUGCCUUAAGUUUGUUGGAGUCGAGCUUAGAAGGGCUUGGGAAGAAAAAUGUCCUCAUUUCAAACCAUUUCAAACAUUUUUAUGGUUCUUGGUUGUAUAGCCUUAAAAGCUCUUACACUCUAUAUAGGGGGACAUUUAGUGUCAACUUUCUACCACCUUCUUAGCUAGCAAGUUGACAAGGGCCUGUUAGUCUAAAGUGAGAUAUUCUUAGGCACAUAGGGUGUUUAAGUGGACAAGUAUCGUCAAGUCACGAAUGUGGCACUAUAUAUCCUCGAGAUAUGGUAAACUAAGGGAUGGUUGGGGCCGAUGAGCCUUAUAUCACGCCUUCACAUUAGGCCAUGAGAUUAAGUCAUAGUGUCAUAAUGUCUAGAUCCGAAGAUCUAUCGCUAGACAUUGACUUUUAAAAGUAGCCACCAAUUUUUUUUAUAUCUAGGUGCGAUUGGCCACCUAAAGAAUCUGUCCUUUCAGGAAACACCUAAGUUUAAAGGUCCCUAAAAGAAUAGGUUCAGGUCUACUAACCAGAACAGGGUUCGAGAGUUCAGUUACGUGUGAGGAAGGUUAUAGCACCUUCACAACGCCCAUCAAAAGAUGGUACCAGCUUAAAUUUGUAUCUCCAAUGAGCCUUAAAAUUUUACCAAGUAAUUAAUUAUUGAAAAUUAUUCUCAAUUGACUCUAAUACUUUCAGCAAAAAUUGAGAAAAUUUUCUCACCUCAGGAGUAUGCAAGAAAACUACUGUUUCACUUGCAGAGGCUCCAUCGUCAGAUUAUUUAACAUAAACAAAAAAAAUAAAAAAAAAAGAAAAGAAUGAUUGUUCUUGUGCAGGAAAAAUUGAUAUUUUCAACUUUUUCUCAAAAAAAAACUUUUUUUGAAAAUUUAUUUUUAAGAAAAAUUGAUACUUUCAACUUUCAACUUUUUUUCAAAAAUAUUUUUUGAAAACUUUGAUUUUUGAGGAAAAUUGAUAUUUUCAACUUUUUUGAAAAAAAUAUUUUUUGGAAAAAUUUAUUUUUAAGGAAAAUGGAUACUUUCAACUUUUCCCCAAAAAUAUUUUUUUUUGGAUUCUUUGAUUUUCGAGGAAAAUUGAUACUUUCAACUUUUUCUCAAAAACUUUUUUUGAAAAUUUAUUUUUAAGGAAAAUUGAUACUUUUUCCCCAAAAAUAUUUUUUUUAGGUUUUAUUUAAAGAAAAUAAAAUAAUAAAACAAAAUAAAAGUGAAAAUAAAAAAAAGUAAAACAAAAAUAAAAAUUAAAUAAAGAUAAAAAAAAUUAAAUAAUCCUAAUUUAAUAAAUAAAAAAACAAAUAAAUAAAUAAAUAUAAAAAAAAACCUGGAACGGCUCGAAGUACGGCUCGGCUCAAGGAAGAGAAACGACUCGAAGAAACGGUUCGAGACGUCGAUUCAGCUCGGCUAACGGCUCGGGGAGGCAGAACACGCGCGGGUCAAAAAACGGGUCGACGCUCGGAUCGAGUCGGAUCUUGGCAAAAUACGCGGAUCCUCUGGGUUAUUUAACGCAAAAAUGACGUCGUUUUAGGAAGUAUAUAAGGCUGUUUCCUUUGUUUUUUCGAUAGAAACCUUCUCCGUCUCUCUCUCUUCCUUCUUUUUCUCUCCCUUCUCUCUAAAACGAUCGAAAAACUCAUGUUGAAUAUUCACCGGAUUCUAGAAUUUUUCAUUGAAAUAUGAGUUUUUUACCGAAAGUUUGUCGAAAAGUUGGUCAAUUUCUGGGAAUCUUCACCCAAAAUUGGGCAGCUAGCCAAAAACUUCAAAUUUGGCCGAAAUUAUGGUCAAAAAAUUCAACGUCCGUCGGAAAAGUCACCGAAAUCUGGAAAUUUUCUAGAAAUUUUCAGAAAAAAAUUUCGUCAAAAAUCUCCAAAAAAUUUUUCCGAUUCCUACAACUGUUCUAACACUUCUAAACAUUUUCUUAGCCUUCAAAAAUCUUUCAUAUGCCCUUUUCUCUCAACCAGUAGCUUCUUUCCUCACUGUUUUUUUCUGUUCUAUUUCUGAGGAUCCCUUUUAUAUGGAUUGAUCAGAAGAGUUUCUGAUCAAUCUCAAUUUCUUUUUGAUCGGGAUUCAAUCAUUGAAUCCAACAUAGACUCUUCUGAUUAAAUCUCAAUCCAAUUUUCAGCCAGAUAAAUAAAAAAAAUUAAAUGAAAAUAAAUCAGAUAAAUUAAAAAAAUUAACAGAUAAAUUAAAAUUAAAUAACAGAUAAUACAUAAUUUGAUAUACAUAAAUAUUAAUAGGAAAAAAAGAAGAAAAAAAAAUAAUAAAGAUAUAUACAUAUUAAUAAAUACAUAAAUACCUAAGAUAAAAAAAAUAAAAGAAAAAAAAUAUAAAAAAAUAAUAAUAAAAAAAUAAAAAUAAAAUAGAAAUAAAAUAAAAAUGUAACAUACAAAAAAAAUAAAAAUAAAAAAAUAAAAAUAAAAAUAAAAUGAAGAAAAAAAAAAGAACAUAGACUUACUUAUUUGGAUCAGGCCCAAUUGAUCCGGGCUUGGACUAAAUUGGGUGUCUACAGCUAUCCCUCUUUGCACAUUUUCUGUGAAACAGAAAUUGCGUAAAGACGUAAACACCCAAUCAAGACUCAACUCGACCUUUUUACUUUUUUUUUGUUUGUUUUUUUUUUUGUUUUUGAUCAAAGCUCCUCCAGGCAGAGGUUCAAUGACUUUGAAAAACAUAAAUGACUCCUCUAAUCAGAGGUUCAAUAACUUUGGAAAAAUAAAUUGCUCCUCUAGACAGAGACACCACGACUUUGGAAAGUAAAUUGCUCCUCUAAAUAGAGGCACCACGACUUUUGAAAGUAAAUUGCUCUUUGACAAUCAUGUCCAAAGGAGUUGAAAAUUGUGUUUGAAGGAAUUUCAGGAGAUUAUGCCCAAAGGUCUUAUAAAUCAACCCUGAUACCAAAAGACAUCCUAUUUCAAGGAUUAGGAACUUACCUGACAAGUUUCUUCUUAAAUUUGAAAAUAUCUUUACAUCUAUUUUCUCUAUGUGGGAUGUUGGAACACCCCUGCUUCUUGAAUUUAUACACUAUACUUUCCUAAAAGUAGUAUAUGCUAUGCGAUGCAUAUGAAUUUCAAUGCAUGCUAUGCAAAUGUUGGCCAAUUAAUUCCUAUUCAAUGUAUGGUACUCAAGUUUCUCAAGCUCUUUUCUUGGACGUCAAGCCCUUUGAUUCUUCAAAGAUCCAAUUACACUACUUUUCUAUGAUCGAGCCAAUAUUGCUCUUAAUUGUCUCUUCCACUCACAUUCUUCCUGUAAGAAAUCUCUUCCCAGAUUCAGGAACUAAACAUCUCGAUUCUGCCUUUAUCACUCUUGACUUAUUCAAUGUAAUGUAAAAAUCUUUCAUGUUAUUAUUCAUUCAUCAAUCAUUAUUUCAAAUUCAAAAAGUAAGAAUGCAUUUGCACAUUUCUUCCAUGGUGGGGUAUUAAGAAGAAAGAAAUAUGAAUGGUUGAGAAACAGUCAUAAAAAAAAGACACAAAGAAUGAAAUAGAAUGUCUCUUAUUAGCAAAAUAUUGGCAAACUUUGGCCAAGAAAGAAUUACAAGGAUAAAUGUGGGGACAAAGUCUAAAAAUGAACAAUCAGAUGAUCAUGAUAACAUAUCUCCAAGUUUUUUCUAAAAACUUAACCCUCUAAUGUAUUUAACAACUUGAAACUCUUCCGAAUUUGCUAGCCUUCAUGUCAGCGAACUUUUAAAUUCGAUGCUGUAUUCUCUUUAUCUAAGCUGCCUUUUCAGGUUUUCAACUUAGACAAACCCCCUAUGACUCAAACCGUCCUUUUAAGGUUUUUGCCUUGAGUCCUUAUUUUUUCAUUCACUUUUUUCUUUUUCUUUUUUUUUAUUUUUUUAUUUUUUUUCAAGUAUAGUAUUUCUUCACAGCAUCAAAAUUUAUAGGAUGGAAUAAAUCAUUUCCAUCCAUCUCAGUUAGUAUCAGCGCUCCACCCAAAAAAGCUCGUUUCACCACAUACGACCUUUUUCAAUUCGAAGUCCAUUUUCCUCUACUAUCAUGUUGGAUUGGGAGAAUUCUUUUCAAGACCAACUCUCCUUCUCGAAAGCAACGGGGCUGAAUCUUCUUAUCAUGAGCCCUCAUCAUUCUUUUUUGAUAUAGCUGACCAUGGCAUAGUGCAGUCAAUCUCUUUUUUUCUAUGAAAUUUAACUGCUCAUAACGUUCUUGAAUCCAUUCAGCUUCUUCCAACUCAACUUCUUUUAGAACCUUCAAGGAGGGGAUUUUUACUUCCACUGGUAGUACAGCUCCAUCUCAUAAACCAAAGAAAAUGGAGUUACCCCAAUAGAGGUACGGACUGACGUUCGAUAUGCAUGCAAUGCAAAUGGUAACUUUUCAUGCCAAUCUUUGUAAGUCUCGAUCAUCUUCUCUAAAAUCUUUUUUAUGUUCUUAUUGGCUGCCUCAACUGCCCCAUUCAUUUUCAGAUGGUAUGAUGUUGAGUUAUGAUGUUUGAUCUUGUAUUGAGCACAUAUUUCUUGUAUCAUCUUACUAUUUAGAUUCUUGACAUUGUCUGAAAUAAUUCUUUUCGAAAGUCCAUACCUACAGAUAAUCUCUCUCUUUAUGAACUUGCAAACUACAGAGCGUGUCACACUUGCAUAUGAUGCUGCCUCUAUCCAUUUUGUGAAGUAAUCUAUCAUCACAAAAAUGAAUCUGUGCCCGUUAGAAGUUUUUAGGGUGAUUGGACCAAUGACAUCCAUGCCUCAUAUUAAAAAUUGCCAUGGUGGUGCCAUAACAUGUAAAGCAGAUGGUGGAGCAUAGAUCUUAUCAACAUAUAUCUAACAUUUAUGGCAUUUACGAGCAUAAUCAAUGCAAUCAUUCUCCAUCGUCAACCAGUAAUAUCCUGCUCUCAUGAUCUGUCUCGUCAUUAUAUGUUCACUAGUGUGUGCCCCACAUAUUCUAUCAUGCACCUCUUCAAUGAUUUUCUUCACUUUAGCUUUAUUUACGCACUUCAAUAAUACUUGAUCUUUGCUUCUUUUGUACAGGACAUCCCCAUCUAGAAAAAAGCUCAUAGCCAAUCUUCGGAUGAUCCUUUUAUCAUUUUCUAUUACUUACACUGGGUACUGCUAAUCUUUAAUAUACUGUAAGAUGUCAUAAUACUAGGGCUUUCCAUCUUCUCCUUCCUCUACAUUAGAGCAAUAAGCUGGUAUAUCAUUAACAUCUAACUUGUUGGGUUGAAUGUCAAUAUUGUCAUUAAUUUGAAUCAUUGCAGUUAGAGUAGCCAAUGCAUCAGCAAUCAAAUUCUCUUCUCGAGGUAAGUGGUUAAACUGGAUAUCUUCGAAUUGUUUCGUCAACUCUAGAAUAUAUUUAUGAUAUGAAACGAGUUUUGAAUCUCUCGUCUCCCAUUCUCUUUUCAACUGAUAUAUAACUAGAACUGAGUCUCCAAACACUUUUAAUACUUUCACUCUUCUAUCUAUAUCAGCUUGUAAGCCCAUGACACAUGCCUCAUAUUCAGCGAUAUUAUUUAUGCAAUUAAAAUUUAAUCUCGCUGUUACAGGGCAGUAUUGUUCUUCUGGAGAGAUCAGAAUUACCCCAAUUUCAUGUCCCAAGGCAUUAGCAGCUCUAUCAAAGUACAUUUUCCAACAUUUUUCUCCAUGCUCCCCUUCCUCCAAUUGAGAAAUAGUCAUUAAGUCUUCAUCAGGAAAUUUCAGCUUCAUUGGCUCAUACUCCUCAGUAGCACGAUUUGUAAGAAAUUUUGCUAUAGCGCUCCCUUUUAUUAUUUUUUGGCUCACGUAUAUAAUAUCAUAUUCUGAGAGCAUUACUUAUCAUCUAGCAAUUCUCUCAGAUGAAGAAGGCUUUUUGAAGAUAUACUUAAUUGGAUCCAGUUUUGCUAUGAGUCACAUAGUAUGAUAGAGCAUAUACUGUCUAAGUCUUUUGGUAGUCCACGCUAAUGCACAACACAUUUUCUCUAAUGAAGAAUACUUGGAUUCAUAUUCCGUGAACUUUUUACUCAGAUAGUAAAUAGCUCUCUCCUUUCGACUAGCCUCAUCUUGCUGUCCCAACACACAUCCCAUUGAAUUUUCACAUACAGUUAAGUAUAGGAUUAAAGGUUUCCCUGGAACAGGUGGCACCAAUACUUGAGGGUUCGAUAAAUAUUGCUUAAUUUUAUCAAACGCCUAUUGACAUUCUUCAUUCCAUUUCCUAGGAUUAUCUUUACGGAAAAGCUUAAAUAUGGGAUCACAUUUGUAAGUAAGCUGAGAGAUAAAUCAAAAAAAUGUAGUUUAAUCUCCCUAGAAAACCUUGAACUUCUUUUGGUGUGUUGGGAGGUGACAGAUUUUGAAUGGCCCGUAUCUUAUCGGGAUCGACUUCAAUUCCUCUUUCACUAACCACAAAGCCUAGUAGCUUCCCUGAUUUUACCCCAAAGGUGCACUUGGCUAGGUUUAAUUUGAGCUGAAAUUUUUUCAACCUCUCAAAUAACUUUCUGAGGCUGUUGACAUGAUCUUCAUCCUCACACGACUUUGUAAUCAUAUCGUCUACAUACACCUCAAUCUCUUUGUGCAUCAUGUCAUGGAAGAGUGUUACCAUAGCCCUUUGAUAUGUUACCCCAGCAUUCUUUAACCCAAAAGACAUGACUUUGUAGCAAAAGGUUCCCCACAUGGUCACAAAAAUAGUCUUUUUCAUAUCAUCUGCAGCCAUUUUUAUCUGAUUAUACCUUGAGAAACCAUCCAUAAAGAAAAAAUUGAAUGCUUAGCCGUGUUAUUUACCAGUGUGUCGAUAUGAGACAAAGGAAAGUUAUCUUUUGGGCUAGCCUUAUUCAAGUCCCGAUAGUCUACAAACAUUCGUACUUUUUCAUUUUUUUUAGGAACUGAGACUAUAUUGGCUACCCAUUCUGGAUACUUAGCCACUUGUAGAAAACCUGCAUCAAAUUGUUUCUUCACCUCUUUUUUAAUCUUUAAUAGCAUUUCAGGCUUCAUCCGUCUCAGUUUUUACUGAACUGGCUUACAUUCUGGCUUUAGGGGCAAUCUGUGCUCUACUAUCUCUGUGCUCAGUCCUGACAUAUCCUAGUAAGACCAAGCAAAUACAUCUAUAAAUUCUCAAAGUAAGUCUGCCAAUCAUUGCCUAUCUCUUGAUGAAAGUGAAGUGCCCAUUCUGACCUCUUUCUUAUUCUCUUCAUUUCCCAGAUUCACUAAGUCUACUACCUCAUGAUAAAGCUCAAUUGGCUUACUUUCUUGUUCAAUCAACCUCAUUAGGUCCGGAGGCAUAAUAUAUUCUCUAGAAUUCUCUUCAUUGUCAAGUUCAUCAGUGUUAAUUAAAUUCUCAAAGCUAACCUCUUGAUUGUUAUCAUGAUUAUCUUCAUGUUCAUUUAAAGACUUGAAAUUGAAUGAAAUGGGAUAUGUUAGCAAGAUGUGCUUGGAAAGAUGGAAAUAAUGAAGACACAAGAAGAAAUGAAUGAAAAUGCAUCCUUCUUUUUUUUUAUUAAAAAUAAUAAAAGAUGAAUGGCCCAAACAAAAAAAGAUCACCCCAAUGCCUUGGGCAAUAGCUAUUGAGAUGUUACAAUUACAUUGUAUCAAAAUCAAAAGUCACAGGCAUCUCGAUAGCACUCCAAUUAUUCAGCUUAUAAUCUGACGGACAAAAGCGAACCCACUCCUCUUGAUUAAGCCCUAUUUCAUCUUCACUUAUAGCAUUCACAUUAUGAGUCAGCAAAGGAUUUCCACUAACAUUCGGUGUAGUCACCCCUCCGGUGUCAAAGCAAAUCAUCCCAUCCUUGAUCAACCGUUGCACUUUUUGUUUUAGGAUGGUGUAAUUUUCGGUGGAGUGACCAGUAAUUCUAUAAUAAUAGUCACAGUGGGUUGUGGGAUCAUACCACUUAGGGUAAGGUGGCUUGAGGGGUUCCAAUUUACUUGGAGCAAUCAAAUGACUGUUGUAAAGCUCCUUAUAUAAUUUUAUAUAAGUCAUUGGAAUUGGGUCAAAAACAAGUUUCUCACGAGUAGUUCGUUGCUCCCGUGAACCAUCAAUGGGGUUAGUUGGGUGAUUUUGGGGUCUUGAGGUAGGCUGAUUGUUAGGACUAUACAUGGUAUUUUGAGGCCUAUGAGGGGUUUGAUAUGUUUGGGGGUAUGGUGAUUGUGCAAAUGGUUGGUAUGGAUGAAGGGAAGUGUUAUUUACAGUAAGGUAAUAUGGUAGAUAUUCUGGUGGUGAGUAUGGUGGAUAGCCUCCAAAUUACUGUCUAUCAAAGCUCACAGCCUGAGCUUUAGUUUUUUUCUUCUUCGGGACUCUCUUGUUAGAUGUUUCAUUUCCUUCUAGCUUACCAUUCUUAAUGGCACUCUCAAUAAUUUCUUUCAAAAUUACCAUAUCAGCAAAGUUUUUAUUGCAUUCCCUAUCAUCUUUUCAUAAUAGGAAGGUUUUAAAGUGCUAACAAAUAACACUAGUCUUUUUCUCGAUCAGAAGAAGUUGUACUUGAGAAGCAAAAUCCCUCCACCUCUGGGCAUACUCUUUAAAAGACUCGUUUGCCUUUUUCUCCAGAUUCUGUAAAGAUAAACGAUCAAGGGCCAAAUCGAUAAUAUGUCGAUAUUGACCGAUGAAGUCAUGUACCAUAUCACUCCAAGAGUGAAUACGAGUUCUGUCCAGCUGAACAUACCAUCUGACCGUAGAGCUAGUAAGACUAUCCUGAAAGACAUGCAUUAAUAGUUUUUCAUCAUGAGCAUAAGCUACCAUAUUACAUUGUGAUGUGAGUUUUGGGGCACUUUGUACCGUCAUAUUUUUCAAAUUUUGGUACUUUGAACUUAUGAGGAAUAACCAUAUCAGGGACUAGGCAAAGCUAGCAGCAUCAACUGACCUAUAAAAAGUGAAUCCUUCCACAACCUGUAGCCUUUGCUCUAGCAUACUAAUCUUGAAGCUUUCCUGAAUUUCCACUUUUAUCUUUUUUUUUCUCUUUCUCUUUUAAAUCAUCUAGAUAAGGAAUUAGUUUUACUACCUUUUCAGUAAAGACUGGAUUUACAUAACUAUUAUAAUGCCCUGGGUUGAAAGCUGAUGGUAUUUCAGGAUAUGUUGGAUAUGUGAAGUGUUACGGUGGAACCUCUUGAGUAGACUGGGGUUGAGGUGGGCCAAAACCUGGAAGAUAUAAAGGGUCAGCCACUUCUUGUAGUGGGGGACCUUGUUGGGUUACGUUUUCUUCAACUCUUUUUUCUUUAUUCAUGCUAUUUAAGAGCAUCCAGAAUCUUGCUCAACUCACUUUCAAUCUUUUCCUGUGCUUUUUCUAUCUUUUCAAAUCUAUGAAAAUUUUUUUGCUCCAUUUGCCUUGCUCUGGAUCUUGUGUUGUAUCGAUGGGCAGGGUUCACACUAGAUGAAGCUAUCCUUGAACCUUGAGUACCACAUCUUAGAAUUAGUAAAUUUGCAUGACUAUCACAUGGUUACUUUGUUAAAUGUAAUGAAUGAGAAUGCAAUGAAUGAAAAAUGCAUGUAUGCAAAUAACAUUUACCUUAAAAACGGUAUUCAACUAAAAAAUUUCAUUUAUUCCAAAAAGACUUUUAUCUACAUUGAGUUUAUCAUCCUAGAAUUAUAGCCAUAAAAUUGUUUGAUCUGUUCACAUUGGGCCUUGGCUUCUUCGAUGAAGUUCAACAGACGCUGUCCAUGUUCUCCUACUAGGGUCACCAUUUGUCUCAAUACUUCUACCUCUUCCACCAUCUCUCUUGCCUUACAUACCCUUUUAUGGAUUUGGGUUGUUAAGUGCUCAAUGUAUUUCUGCCUUCCUAAGUUUUCUCUUUUACCACACCAGACUUGGUAUGAUAAUUCUCUAUGUUCUCUAACCAAUGCAGUGAUGUGGUCUCCUUGUUCAUCCAACUUUUGACUUAGCUUGCUCAAAUAUCUGUUUAGCAUGUUAAUUUCUACUUGUGCUUUAGUAAUUUUUUCUUUCAAUUCAGCAUACUCUUGCUUCAAUCUUGUAUUUUCCUCAGUCAGCUCGACAAUGGUUAUCUCUUUGGCUCUUUCUCUCAUACAUAACCUUUUAUGCUCUUAGUGUAGCUUUGUUAGAUCUUCAAUAGCUGUAUCACGUUCUCUAGCAAUCUUGUGAACUUUAACUUCAAAACUUUCGGCUCUAUCUUUCCAUUGAGCUUUUUCUUCUUGAAGCUUCUGGAUUUCUUACUUUAACUUGCCCUUUUUAGACUCAAAUUCUUUUGUUGCCAGCUCUAAUUCUGAUGGUGUCUUUUCAAAUUUUUCUUCUGUUGGUGGUUGAGAGAUUUCAUAAGUGAAUACCAUUUCUUGUCUUCUUUUUGUUCUCCAAACCAAGUACCCUAGGGUGACUUUAUUAGUAAAUGGUUUAGGAUUCACUUUUCAAGGAUUUUUCCAUGCUUUAAUCAUCUCUUCAUCCUUUGAAAUGCUUUAGGCUCACUGUAAGAGAAAUCUAAUUGAUAAAGCCCAUGAGUCAUAGGAAUGAACUGUUCUCCUCCAAAUUACCUUCUCACUAGAAGUGGUGCAUAAUUUGUCAUUCCCCAUAAACCCAGAAGUGGGACCACUGUACUAUCCCUACAUUGAUACAACAUAGGCUCACGAUUUAUCCAUUGGGCCAACCAUCUCACCCUGGCAUUUUUCAACUUUUGUAGGAAAGUUAUCCAUUCUUGUUUAGACUUCCGCUUUGACCACCCACUUUCGUAGAAUUCCUUGAUCAAAACACGAUUACGGAUAUAAAGCUUCGAGAAAACACCAUUUUCCUGUUCAAAAUGGCUUUUCAUCCACAAGUACAAUAACUGUAUGCAACCUAUGAAGCGUCCUUCAUUUUGACGACAAUAACUCAAAGAUCUAAUAGUUUUUCUGCUAAUGUUAUCGUUGAAGGAUUACAACCAUUGAUCACACUCUCAAAGAAGUUAACCACCGCUAUCUCAAUAUAUCUCAAAACCUUUGGAAAGAUCACUAGUCCGUAUAUGGUCAAGGAAAAUAUAUCUAACCCUCGUUUUUCAUUGGCAUGUUGCAUCAAAAACUUAUGAAAGAACUUUCAAGGUAGGCAAACCUGUUCUUGUUUCUUCUUUGUAUGAGAAUUCAUAAUUUCCUUGUCUAUCCCCAUGAGUUGAGCCAGACUUUUACGAAAUCUUGACUUAUAUUUUUUGACAUAUAUCUUGUCAGGAGUCUUGAGAUACAAACCCAACAAGAUCGAAUAUUCUUUGAUGGUGAGAGUCAUAUCAGCUUCAUUAAAGAUGAAACACUUGUAUGCAGGAUCUCAGAAUUGUGUUGCAGCUCUGAUUAGUUGAUCAUUAACAACUACUACUAGAAGGUGUGCUAUAUACCCAUGUUUCUGACAAAACUGCUCGUCUUGACGAAUUCAUCUUCUUCUACCAAAUCCUCUAAAUUGUUCUGUUUGAGGAGGAUAGAUGUUUCUUGAGAUAGAGUAGAAUCAUACCCAAUUGGCAAGUAAUCUCCUAUCUUAAGUUGAAUCUUUUCUGACUGGGCCCUUACUUCAUUGGGUGUCCCACAAAGUGCUAAUACGGAUGAAGAACAAACUAGUCAUUCAGUGGAGUCCAUGACAAAAUUUGUUGAAGACCGUUUUUCAAGCAAAUGUUCUUUAUGCAACUUUAUGAUAUACGUAUGAACCAAUGCAAAAGAAUAAGAAAAUGGUUAGUAUACCUAGAAAAAGAAAUAAUAACUAAGUAAAUUUAAACAUCACACAGAGUAAAAGGGAUGAAUCCUAUGCUUUUGGUCAAUUCUAAAAGGGAAAAGUGAUGGCUCUAUCUAUAGGUUAGGUGCUCUUAAGGUUCACUAUAUACGAUUUUAAGGUCAAAGUCUAAAGGUCCUCAAAUUGUUCCUUACAUUCUUGUCCAUCACAGACUAGUAAGCCACCCUAAUCCUCACCCAUUACAGGCUACAAGCGAAAAAAGUUCAAUUUGAGUGGGAGUAUUUCGCUAGCCACUGCGGAGGUAUUAGACCUCACGAAAGUAAUAGGUACUUUACUCCCUCCUAGAGGGACGGAGCUCGGGUGUAGAGCUCAUGUUAUGCACAUGCAUAUGAAUGACAUAAUUAACAAGGUAAAUAAACAUGAAUGAAUAAUAACACAUAUAUACAAACAGGUUCAAUUGUGUUAGGCUUUUGGAUAACACAAAUUAUUUGCUGGCCUGACUCUCAAAGUCCCCAACGAAAUCGCCAAGCUGUCAUAACGUCUAGAUCCGGGGAUCUAUCGCUAGACAUUGACUUUUAGGAGUCGCCACCAAUUUUUUUUAUAUCUAGGUGUGAUUGGCCACCUAAAGAAUCUGUCCUUUCAAGGAACACCUAAGUUUAAGGGUCCCUAAAAGAAUAGGUUCAGGUCUACUAACCAGAACAGGGUUCGGGAGUUCGGUUAUGUAUGAGGAAGGUUAUAGCACCCUCACAACGCCCAUCAAAAGAUGGUACCAGCUUAAAUUUGUGUUAUCCAAAGAGCUUUAAAAUUUUAUCAAGUAAUUAAUUAUUGAAAAUUAUUCUCAAUUGACUCUAAUACUUUUAGCAGAAAAUUGAGAAAAUUCCUUCACCUUAGGAGUAUGCAAGAAAACUACUAUUUCAUUUGCAAAGGCUCCAUCGUCGGAUUAUUUAACAUAAACAAAAAAAAUAAAAAAAAAAGAAGAAAAGAAUGAUUGUUCUUGUGCAAGAAAAAUUGAUACUUUCAACUUUUUCCCAAAAAUAUUCUUUUGAAACUUUAAUUUCGAGGAAAAUUGAUACUUUCAACUUUUCCUCAAAAAAAAAACAUUUUUCAAAAUUUAUUUUUAAGAAAAAUUGAUACUUUCAACUUUUUUCCAAAAAUAUUUUUUGAAAAAAUUUAUUUUUAAGGAAAAUUGAUACUUUCAACUUUUUCCCAAAAAUAUUUUUUGAAAACUUUGAUUUUCAAGGAAAAUUGAUACUUUUAACUUUUCCUCAAAAACCUUUUGUGAAAAUUUAUUUUUAAGGAAAAUUGAUACUUUCAACUUUUUCUCAAAAACUUUUUUUAAAAAUUUAUUUUUAAGGAAAAUUGAUACUUUUUCCCCAAAAAUUUUUUUUUUUAGGUUUUAUUUAAAGAAAAUAAAAUAAUAAAACAAAAUAAAAGUGAAAAUAAAAAAAAUAAAACAAAAAUAAAAAUAAAAUAAAGAUAAAAGAAUAUUAAAUAAUCCUAAUUUAAUAAAUAAAAAAAACAAAUAAAUAAAUAAAUAUAAAAAAAACAAAAAAAAAAUUGGAGCAGCUCGGAGUACGGCUCGGCUCGGCUCAAGGAAGAGAAACGGCUCGGAGAAGCGGCUCGGGACGUCGGCUCGGCUCGGCUAACGGCUUGGGGAGGCAGAACACGCACGGGUCGAAAAACGGGUCAACGUUCGGGUCGGGUCGGAUCUUGGUAAAAUGCACUGAUCCUCUGGGUUAUUUAACGUAAAAACGACGUUGUUUUAUGAAGGUAUAUAAGGCUGUUUUCCUUUAUUUUUUCGACAAAAACCUUCUCCCCUCUCUCUUUCUUCCUUCUUUUUCUCUCUUUUCUCUCUAAAACGGUCGAAGAACUCCGGUUGAAUAUUCACCGGAUUCUGAAAUUUUUCGUCGGAAUCUAGGUUUUUCACCGAAAGUUCGUCGAAAAGUUGAUCGAUUUUUUAGAAUCUUCAUCGAAAACUGGGGAGCUGGCCGAAAACUUCAAACUUGGCCGAAAUUAUCGUCGAAAAAUUCAACGUCUGUCAAAAAAGUCACCGGAAUCUGAAAAUUUUCCAGAAAUUUCCAGAAAAAAAUUUCACCAAAAAUCUUCAAAAUUUUUUUUCGAUUCCUACAGCUGUUCUAACACUUAUAAACAUUUUCUUAGCCUUCAAAUAUCUUCUAUAUGCCUUUUUCUCUUAACCAGUAGCUUCUUUCCUCAUUGUUUUUUUUUGUUCUGUUCCUGAGGAUCCCUUUUAUAGGGAUUGAUCAGAAGAGUUUUUGAUCAAUCCUAAUUCCUCUUUGGAUCGAGAUUCAAUCAUUGAAUCCAACAUGGACUCUUCUGAUUGAAUCCUAAUCUAAUUUCCAGCCAGAUAAAUAAAAAUAAAUAAAAAAAUCAAAUAAAAAUAAAUCAGAUAAAUCAAGAAAAUUAACAGAUAAAUUAAAAUUAAAUAACAGAUAAUACAUAAUCUGAUAUACAUAAAUAUUAAAAGGAAAAAAAAGAAAAAUAAAUAAUAAUAAAGAUAUAUACAUAUUAAUAAAUACAUAAAUACCUAAGAUAAAAAAAAUAAAAGAAAAAAUAUAUAUAUAAAAAAACAAUAAUAAUAAAAAUUAAAAUAAAAUAGAAAUAAAAUAAAAAUGUAACAUACAAAAAAAAUAAAUAAAAUAAAUAAAAUGAAGAAAAAAAAAAGAACAUAGACCUACUUAUUUGGACCAAGCCCAAUUGAUCCGGACCUAGACCAAAUUGGGUGUCUACACAUAGCAUUCACUAUGCUCUUCAGUUUCCCCUCUUUAAGUCGAAUCAGAAGUAACCAAAGAUCAUACAAGGGUGCUUGCGUAGGAGGGGGUACCAACGAGCUUGAGGGAUGAGUGGACUAGUAGACAAGUAGGUUGCUAGAUUCUUGUGGUUACUCGAGAGCUUGCAAGGAGUAGACCUGGUAAUUUAUGUAUUCUUAUCAUGUAAAAUACUAAAAUUAAUGUAUUCAUGCCAUAUUUUACAUGAAAAUUAUAUGUCAUAAUUCGUGUUAACAUAAAAAUAUGAAAUGUGUUUUUUUGGUUUGUUAAACCAUAUAUAGUUAUUGCUAAAAUUUUAAAUCAUAUCAUCUUUGUGUUUAUUUUUAUCGUAUUCAUGUCAUGUCAAUGUGUUGUGUUUUAAAUUAUCAAGUUUAUAUGAAAGUGAGCUACAACUGAGGUAGCACACUUAAGUAUCCGAUUAAAUGCGAGCAUGAUGUUAGGUGUCCAUCAGACGCAUGGGUAGCCUAAAGUGAGGCUAAGGGGGUGAGACCUUAAGGUACAAGCUUCAUGGAUAAUGAGAUGAGCCUAGUAUGGCUCUGAGUUAGCUGUAAACCAGCAUUUGUGCCAUGCCUUAGGGUUCUAGGCACUAAAGCUAUAAAACACACAUACGGGCUUGGUGUUAGGUUUUCACCAUGUUAAAAGGUGUUUGCCUAGUGAGACUCAGGGCUGCAUGCCCAUAUGCGAGUUCUUGUAAGGUCAGUGUUCAUGACAUUGGUGCAUACGGGCACUAGAUUAGUGCUCGAGGCCAUUUAAAGAUUUAUGGGCAGAUAUGAUGGGACUUGGGUUCCUACCUCUAUGAGUUUGGAAUGUUACGAGUGACCUUCCAGGGCUAAGGUUAUCAUGUGGCAUACUAUCGAACCAUAAUGGUUAUCCAUAAGAAAAUAGACUUGUGAAAAGGUUGACCUCGACUAUAAAUAGUCUUGAUGCCACAUGAUCGCAUGAUUUCAACUUAAGGAACACGUAAUCCGUGACACUAUAUAUGUCAUCUAGCUUAUAUGUCUCUAGCUUUUGGAAACAAAUAAGGAUCUUUUCUUUUUAGGCCAAAGGUUAGUAAUCUCUAACCUUUGUUUGGUUUUUUAAUUGGUUGAGGUUAUAUUGCCCCUUUAAGCCAAUUCUUGAAAAUCUUAUUGAUAAAGUCCAUAAGAAUGGUUUAGUAACAUCUACUUCACUUUUGGGGAUGUCAAAAUUUCUACCAUAGUACUUAGCCAUAACUUUUAUAUGUUUUUUGAAAGUCUGAACAAGAAAUUUGUUUAACAUCGAUAAAAUUUUUUCGACAUAAUUUUUUUAUUGAUAAUUACUAAUGGAUUUUUAAUGGAACAAAAUAAAAAAUUAACUUAAGAAUUACUGAUUAAUUACUAAUGAAAUUUAUUAAUGAAAUAUUUUCUAUAAUAUAAAAGGUUGGAGUAAGUUUUGUUGACAAAAUUAUCUGUUGGUAAUCUAUUUAUUAAUAGUUCACCAACGAAAAAUCCCAUUAGUAAUAAAUUUUUAGUAAAAAAAUUAAAUUUUAGAGAAAAAAAUUAGAAUUAAAUUAAAAAUAAUUUAAUAUUUUAAAAAAAAAAGAUUAACGACAAAAAUUUCGAGUAAUCCGUGACCACUGUCUUUAAAUCUAAAAUCCCUUCCUCCUCAUUUUCACUCUCACACAUUCUCUCUCCCUGACCCUAAACCAGAUCCCGACCCCGACCCAGACUUUUGUCGCUCUCGCUCCUAUUUGUCGUCUCCGUCUAUCUAUUCUUAGUGCUUUCUGACGAUCGGAUAGUGUCUUUCCGCCCCCCUCUUUCACUCCAUCACAAUCUCUCUCUUUCCAACGUUCGAAUCCUGCAGAUAAGUUUUACGCCUUUCUUCCUCUUCCAGCUUUCAUUUUGAGAUAGGUUUUCCUUUUUGCUUAAAGACGAUUUUGAUUUUAAAUUUUGUUUGAUAACUGAGUUUUCAUUUGGUGGUGACUGAUGACUGGCUAGUGGUCACUUUCACCGUUCGUGUGUGGCUGUGAAUCGAACAGUUUUGCUUAUUGAACUGAAAUAAUUAAAUAAUAUUCCUCAUUGCAAAUGUAUUAGCAAAGGUUUGCAAUUAGUUGAAAAUACAUCCUUAAGCACAAUUUUUUGGUAAAUAUGAUUUUAUUGUAGGAUUAAGAGUUCUUUGAUAAACCCAGUUUAUUAAAGUUCUUUGCUUGUAGAACUUUAUAUUGAAAUUAGCUAGCUUUAGUUUCUGUUUGAGCUAAAUCAGGAUUCUUGAUGCAAAGGUUCGUGUUUCUAAAAUGUUCUUGUUUAAGCGUGGAUUUUUUUAGUAAUGGCUUUAUGCCAAUUUGGUUUGCUGACCCUUUUGUAAUUUUGACUGGCCAUUUUUAGUAACAAAACAUUUUCCAUUUUUAAAGUUCUUAUAAGGGGUUUCUGGUGAUGUUUUGUUUUGAUUUAAGGGAAUGUAAAUAUGUUGAGUUUUUACAUAGCAACCAUGAAAUUUGGAUAACUUUUAGCCUUCUUGCUAUAUACCAGUUUGUCACGCAUACUUGUUGCUUUAGAUACCACGUUUAUUCUACAUCACUUUGUUGGGUGUGAAAGGUCUGGGGAUGUAAUAGUAAAAGCUGUGGACUUUACUUGAAUUUACUUGAGUAUGAAUUACAUUGAUAUAUAUCCUCCAAAACUUUUCAAACAGAUUGCAUUUCACCAGAUACUUUGAAUAAUUUGAUGCUAUUUUUAUUAGUUUAAUUCUCUUACCUGUUGAUUUGCUACAGAUGAUAAUACUAUCUCACUUAGAAGUCAGAACUAGACAAGUUUUCAUGUAUAGAAAUUUGAGGUUUUACUUGAAUUGAUUGAGUUUUAGUGGUUCAUUAUUGGUUUUGUUUAACAAACUUAUUCAUUGAGGCACAAUAAUUAAAUAUAUUGGAGAUGUUUGUAGAUAGUAAGAAAUGAAAUGUGGAAUGGAGGUCUAGAAUGUUAUUGGAACGUUAAACAUAUUGAGGGUUUGAUAUCUUUGUACAUAAUGGGUGAAAUCUUUUAAUGAAAAUUAGGAAUACGUUCUAGGUUAGACUCACUUAGCCCCUUCUCCCUUUUUCUUUUUUCCGGCAAAUUCAUACUUGUUCUUUAUGAUAUUUAUGUCCCCAUCUUAUAUCUUUGGCUAUUGAUUUAAUAAUUAAGAAAUAAACUAUUGAACAACUAUUUGUUUAUUUUGACUACACAAAGAGUCCCAUUUGGCUACAAAAUUUCUAAUGUUAUUGUGUUAGCUAAACGAUAUUAGGAAGUCACAUAUGAUCUUAUGAUCUUGUUUCCUAUCAGUCAUCAUGAAAUUACGUAGCAUAUGGUAUUCUAUGGUUUAGGUAGAAUUAGCAUACAAAGAAAAUUAGUAAAAAUUACAUUAAGAAUUGCAGUUUGAGGCAUUCAACUUAGAAUUUCAUUUUGCGAAAUUUUCACACCAUGUUUUAACCUUUGCUUAAAAUUUCCUUAAGUUGCUUAAUUAUAAUGCUUCUUAGAUACAUUUUUAACUUCUUCCUUUCUUUUGCUUCGUUAAACUUACAGAGUUGCACUUUCUUCUUCUAACAAUUUUCUGUUUCUAUUUUCUUCUAUAUGACAAGAAGUUUUGGCCUAAUGUGGAGCUUUUGAAAGAUGUUGCUGAGACAACUCAAGAUUGCAGCUACUUUUUAAUCCUUCACAAGGCCACAAGUCAUUCUAUCCUCGCACAUAUGUCUUAUUAUUUAUACUUAGUUGCACAAAUAAAUUGUAUUUGCUCUUUUAUAUGUAUUUUUUGUUUUUUAAUUUAAUUAGAAUUCAUAAAUAAGUUUGUAAAAUAUUAUUAUAUUCUUUAAUAAAUGAAAUAGAGAAUUUUGUUUAUUUAUUUUUUAUUUUUGUAUAUUUUAAUAUUCAUUUAGUUACUUUCAAAUAAAUUUUAAAAUAGAAUAUAAUUAUAAACAAAUUAACUAUUACCAAUGGAAAUAUUAAUUAUUAUUGAUGAUUUUUUUAUUAUUGAAAUUUUAACUAUUAUUGAUGAAUUUUAAUUAUUAUCGAUAGAAUUUUUUUAUAAAAUUAAAAAAUAAUUUAUUGAAAUAUGUGAAGAAAUAUUUAUUUACAGUUGAUUUUAAUAUUGUAAUUUGUAUAUUUAUAUUUGUAUAUCUAGAAUUAAGAAUAAAAAAUUAAGAUAGAUAAUCCCUUAAUUAUAGGAUCAAUUUUACUCACUAAUUAGUUGUAUAUAAACCAAAGGUAUUUGUAUAAUUCUUUAUGAGUUGUUUUUCAAUAUAUAUUCAAUUUUACUCUUAGUUUUUCAUACAAUUUUUUUUUAGUUUUUUCACAUAGUAUUAAAGCUUUAAGCUCUUCUUGAAAAGAAAAUUCUUUCAGCUUUUAUUGCUGAAUUCUAUUUCAGGCCUUCAUAGCCAAAUCUUGUUAAAUAUUUUGAUCUUAUUUUUUCUUUUUUGGCCUUCAUUGCCUAGAAUCGUCUUUGAUUAAACCUUUAAAAUCAAGACUUGUUUCAGUCUUGAGAAAGAUAGUGAUGCCAAAGAUAGCAGAAUCUAUCACUACUACUCAAUUUGAAGAAGUGAUAACUGGUAAAAUUAUCGAAAUACUGCAAAAGUCUCAGGAACAAAGAAAGUUGGAUAGAGAAGAGAUUGAGAAACUAAGAAGCUUAUUGAAAAUUCUUGAGUAGCCUAUUGGAGUAUGUUCUUUGGGUAAGGUCUUUAGUUUAGGUAAAGCUUUUGAUUUGCAUGGAUUAAAUGUUUCGAUUAAGCUUAUUACGAGUUUUUAGGUCAUUAACUUAGAAGCCACAGACCAUAUGACAUAUUCCUCAUAGAAGUUUAGUACAUAUACCCUAUGUCGUAGUAAUAAAAAAAUUGUUGUUACAGAUAGUUCACUUACUAUAAUAGCAGGAUUAGGAGAUGUUCAAAUUAAUCACUCGUUUAUUCUUAAAAAUGUUCUUCAUGUUAUUGCAUUAUUUACUAAUAUGAUAUCUUUACAAAAUCUUACUAUAAACAUGACAUGCAAUGUGACUUUUUAUCCCUCUUGUUGUGAAUUUUAGGAUCAGAUUUAAAAAAAAUAUAUUGGAGUUACUAAGGAGAAAGAUGGACAAUACUAUUUUGAAACAUCAAACAACACAAGUAAUAUCAAGAAUAUUUUACCUUUGUCCUUUUUUUUUGAAAAAUCUCUCAAUAAAGAUAAAAUUUGCCUUUAUCAUUUUCAUUUUGGACAUCCUUCUUUUGGAACUGUCAAAAACAUGUUUCUUUUUUUGUUUAAAGGAUUAAAUGCCAAAAAUUUUCAUUAUGGUAUUUGUGAACUUACAAAGUAUAGACGUGUAUCUUUUUUAGUUAGCAAUAAAAGAAGUUUUACUUCUUUUUACUUAAUUCAUAGUGACAUAUGUGAUCUUUCUACAAUUUUUAAUAUUUCUGGUGCAACAUGGUUUAUUGCUUUCAUAGAUGAUUGUACUUGGAUCUCUUAGAUAUUUUUACUUAAAUCCAAAUUAGAUUUGAAUAGUGUGUUUUUAAGCUUCCAAAUAAUAUUCAAAAUCAAUUUAGAGUGAAAAUCAAGAGAUUUAGGUCUGAUAAUGCAGAAAACUAUUUCAACAAGAAUUUAUUUACCUAUUUCCAAAAGAAAAAGAUUAUGCAUAAGUCAUCUUGUGUUAAUACUCCACAGCAUAAUUGAGUGGCAGAGAGAAAAAAUAACCAUUUACUAGCCACAACCUGAGUUUUACUUUUUCAAAUAAAUGUACUUAAAUCUUAUUGGAGGGAAGCUGUUUUUAUUACCACACACAUUAUAAAUAGGUUAUUUUAAAGGGUUUUGAGAUUUAAAACUCCUAUGGAACUACUCUCACAAUUCUACCCCAACUUUAAUACCACAAACAAUCUUACACCUAGGAUAUUUAGUUGUACAUUAUUUUUCAUGUUCACAAUCAUAAUAAGGGAAAGUUGGAUCUUAGAGCAUUAAGUGUAUUUUUAUGAGGUAUUCAUCAACUAAAAAAAAGUAAAAAUGUUAUUAUCCUCCUACUAAAAAAUUUUAUGUGUCUACAAAUAUCACUUUUGAAAAAAGUAAACCAUUUUUUACUCAACCUUAUCUUUAGAGGGAGAUUUCAUUAAAGAAGAUAAGGAUAAAUACUUCUUUUUGCUUGACUUAUCCUCCUCUUCAAUAUUUUCACCCAUUAAUUUUUUGAGUCUAAACCUAUUUCUUCUGAAUCUAAGUUAAAUACUAAAUUUUAAUGUAAACCCAUUCCAAACACAAAAGGUGUAACAAAUGAUAAUAUUGUUCUUGAUUCUAUGAAUAAAUUACAGGUAUACUUAAGAAGAAAAGUUUCAAAUCCUGAACUAGUGCAAGUCCAAGAACCUAAUCCUAACUUUAGAAAUGAAGUAACUACAGUCUUUGACAUCGAUACUCAAAAUGAGCAUAAAUCUCCUAAAACUAUAACUAGUGAUUAUAAUAUACUAAUUACCAUUAGAAAAGAAACCAGAGAAUGCACUAAGCAUCUACUAUACCUAAUCUCUAAUUUUGUAUCAUUUGAAAAUUUCUCACCAUCUUGCAAAAAUUUUUUUACGAGCUUAAACACUAUUUCUCUUUCAACUACAUUAUCCGAGGCAUUAUCUAGAAAGAAAUGGAAGCAAACCAUGAAAAUUAAAAUGGAGGCUUUACAGAAAAAAAGACAUGGGAACUGAUAGAGUUACCUAAAAAAAACUCCAGUUGGCUGUAAAUGAGUUUUCACUAUAAAAUACAAGGUGAAUGGUAUUGUUGAAAGGUAUAAAGCCAGAUUAUGGUUAAGGGCUACACUUAAACUUAUAGAGUGGAUUAUUAGAAAACUUUUGCUCUGAUUACCAAGAUGAAUAUAGUUAGGAUUUUGUUAUUAUUGAUUGCAGAUUACAAUUGGCAGUUUCAACAAUUUGAUGUAAAUAAUGCUUUUUUAAAUGGUGAUUUGAAAAAAAUAUGUAUAUGAAGGUUCUACCGAGAUUUGAAGGUCAUCUAGAAGCAAACAAAGUGUGCAGGUUGAAAAAGGCUUUAUAUAGCUUAAACAAUCUUCUAUAGCUUAGUUCGAAAGACUUGCCAAAGUUAGUUAGCAAUGGGAUAUAAGCAGAGUUAAGGAGAUCACACAUUAUUUAUCAAGCACUCUGAUUCAAAGAAAGCCAUGAUUUUAUUAAUGUAUGUUGAUGAUAUAAUUAUAAUCGAAGAUGAUAAAAGAGAGAAAGAAUCUCUAAAAUUAUGUUUGGUUAGAGAAUUUAAGAUAAAAGAGCUAGAGAGAUUGAAGUACUUCUUAAGAAUUGAAGUAGUUCACUCACGGCGUUAUGUUUUCAUCUCACAACAAAAAUAUGUGAUAAAUCUUUUAAAAAAAAUUGGAAAGCUCACAUGUAAACUUGUAAAUACCCCUAAGAUCCUAAUCAUAAACUUAAAAAAGCUAAUGAAAAUGCUGUUAUAGAUAGAGAGAUUUACAAAGAUUAGUUGAAAGACUUAUUUAUCUAUCACAUACUAGACCUAAUAUAGCAUAUACUGUGAGUGUGAUAAGCAAAUUUACGCAUAGUCAUAAAAAAAUACACCUAUAAGCUAUCUACCUUUUAUUGCACUAUUUGAAAGCCAAUCCUAGAAGUGAUAACUUAUUCAAAAGAAAUUUGAGGUUGGUUUUAGAGCAUUAUACAGAUGCUGAUUAUGUAGGUUUAAUAAUUGAUAGAAGAUCCACCUCAGACAUUGCACUUUUUAAAGUGGUAAUCUUAUGAUUUGAAGCAGUACAAAACAAAAUGUGGUAGCAAGUUCAAGUGUUGAAGUAAAGCUCAAAGCAAUGGCUCACAUAAUUUGUGAACUACUAUAGUUAAAUAUUAUCCUAGAAGACUUAAAGAUAAAGUGGGAUGGAGCAAUGAGACUCUACUGUGAUAAUAAGUUUGCAAUAAGCAUUGCAUACAAUCUUGGGCAAUUUGAUAAAACAAAAACACAUUGAACUAAACCAACAUUUCAUAAAGGAAAAAUUAGAUAGUGGGUUAAUUUGUACAUCGUAUGCAUCAACUAAGGGUUAACUUGCAGAUGUGUUAACUAAAAGUCUCAACGGUGUAACAUUUUAAGAAAUUAUUUCUAAGCUGGGAAUGGAAAACACCUAAUCACUAGCUUGAGGGAGAGUGUACAAAAAUACUUAUUUACAGCUAGUUGUAAUCUUAUAAUCUAUAUAUUUAUAUUUGUAUAUCUAAAACUAAGUAUUUGUAUCCCUAGAAUUAGGGAUAAAAAAUUAGGAUAGAUAAUCUCUCAAUUAUAUGAUCAGUUUUAAAAAGAUUUAGUUUCCUAGUUUACCCACAAAUUAGUUGUAUAUAAACCUAAAGUGCUUUUAUAAUUCUUUAUGAGUAGUUUUUCAAUAUACAUUUAGUUUUCCUCUUAGGUUUCCACACAGUUUUUUUAUUAAUUUUUUCACAAAAUAAUAUGCCAAUGGAAAAAAUAUUUUUACUGACAAAAAAUUUUGUCAAUAAUUUAUCAACAAAAUUUUAUAAUAUUAACAAAAUUAUAUCACUGACUAUACUUAUAUUGACAGAAUUUUUCGUAAAUAAAUUUGUUGGUACAAUUAUUACUGACAAAAAAUGAAGUAUUAUCGACAUAAACUUUCAUCAAUAAUACUUGUGGUGUAAUUUCUUUUAUUUUUUUCAACUACUUUAUUGUUUGUUACUGAGUUAAUAGCACCCGUAAUCCUUAAAUUUUGAUUCAAAUUCUCUUUUGAUUCUUAAAUUUAAAAAAGUUCUAAUUGGAUCUCUAAUUGCUUAAAGUUAUCUUAUUUUAAUCUUUUUAUCUAUGGAACUAUCUAAAUUGAUGGCAAAUGACAGUUGAUACCAUAUGAUGACAUCAGCUAGCAUCUCACGUGGUACAUGAGGGACAAAAAUAGAAUUUUUUCAAAGUUUAAGGAUCAAAGAUGAAAUUAUUUAAAAAGUUUUAUAAAUAUCAUAUAUAUUUUAUAAAAUAUUAAAUUUACAAUUAUAAAAAUUCAAUAUCAUUUUAAAGCAAAAAAAUUAUUUUCUACUAAAAAUAUUAUUUUACUCAUAAAUCAUAAUAUAAAUAUUAUUUUCUAUCCAUAAAAUAUAUAUUUUAAAAUAUUAAAUAUCUUUUAUUUUCCAUUUUCAAUAUAUUUUAUAAAAAAUAAAUAAAGAAAAAGAUAAAAAUAAUUUAAGAAAAAAUUGAUUUUUAUAUAUUUCAAAUAUAUUUGAUAAAAUAUUAUAAUUUAAAAUAUUUUUUAAUUUUUAUUAUAAUAUGAUUUAUCAAUUAAAUAAUAUUUUCAACAGAAAUAGAUUUUUAAAAAAAUUAAAAUUAAGUAAAAAAUUUUAUAUAUGUUUAAGAAAUUAAAUAAUAACUCUACAUCAUGUUAAAAUAUUAUAAAUAACUUUUCAAAUAAUUUUCAAAAAUAGAUUUAUUAAUCUAUUUUAAAAAAAAAAACUUUAUAUUCACAUAAAUAAAAAUAUAAUUUAAAACACUUUUUAUUUUUCUUUUUUUAAAACAUAUUUUAUAGAACAUAUUUAAAAUGAAAAAUAAAGAUAUUUAAUAUUUUAAAAAUAAUUUUGGAUAGAAAAUAAUAUGUUUUAUUUUGACUAAUGAGUAAAAUAAUAUUUUUAAUAAAUUUUUUAUUCUUAAAAUGUAUUAAAUUUUUAUAAAAGAAAUUUGAAAAUUUUAACUUAAUUUUAAGUUUUGAAUAUCUAUUUUCUAUUUAAAAUAAAAAUCUAUCUAAUAAGUUAUAUAAUAACAAAAAAAUGCAAAUAUAAAUAUAAAUAUAAUAUUUUUAUAACACAUGUAAAAUAAAUAAAAUUUUAAGAUAGUUUCGUCUUUGAUCCCUAAACUUUAAGAGAAUUCUAUUUUGGUCUCUCAACUAUCACGUAAGAUGUUAGUGCAUGUAAUCAUGUGGUAUUAACUGGCAUUUUAUCAUCAAUUUAGAUGGUUUCAUAGACGAAAUGACCAAAAUAAGAUAACUUUGGACAAUUAGGGAUUCGAUUAGAACUUUUUAAAAUUUAGAGACCAAAAUAGAAUCUGAGUCAAAAUUUGGGGAUUACGAAUGUUGUUGACUCUUUGUUAACCCAACCUCUAAUACCCUUAAAAUAAAUGAUGAUAUGGUAAUCGAUAUUGAUAUAGAUAACAAGUGACUAUUAUGUGACAAUGAUAUAGCCACCAUGUGUUAUAUUUUUAAAAAAUAAAAAUAUUUUAUAAUAAUUUAUAAUUUUUGUAAAAAUUAAAUAAUUUAAUAAAAUAAAAAAACUAAAGUUAUUUUUCUUUACAAAUAAUAAAAAAUAAUUUUAGUUUUUUUAUUUUUAAAAUUAUUUUAUUUUUAAAAUUUUAUAUUUUUAUUUUUAAAAUAAUUUUAUUUUUUAAAAAGUUAUGAUAAAGUAAUUUUUUAAAAAACAAUAAAAUCUAAUUUUAAAAAAAAGAAAAAAAAUUAAAUUUUUAAAAUUUUUUCAAAAAAUAAUUUUUAUUUUUGUUUUUUAAACACUUGAUAGCCAUAUCAUUACUACAUAAUAGUCACAUGCCAUUUACAUCAGCUUUAACUGUUGAUUUAGCAUUUAUUUUAACAAUGAUAAAAAUUAUGUAAUUUAAUAAAUAAAAAUAAAAUUUAAAUGUCACACUAAAAAAAUAUAAUAAUUCAAAAAUUAUUUAAGACAAUUUAUCCUCUUAUUUAAAAAAAGAAUUUAUUAUCAUUGCAUAAAAUAAAUCUAUGGACAUACUAGUUUUAAGCCUAUGCGAUACACGAAAAAAUAUUCAUAUAUCAAUAUAAUAAAAUAAAUAUUUUUAAAUGAUAAUAUAAACUAUGAAGUUUAUGAAUAACUGAUAACUUAUAUAAUUAUUUUUAUUUAAAUUUAUAUAUUUUAAUAUAAUAAAAUAAAUUAAUUACAUAUUGAAUGUACUUAUGCAAUUACCAUCAAUUCUAAAGAAAACUCAAACUAUAAUUUAUUAAAUCCAAAUAAUCUCUAAACAAAAAACAAUAAUGUUUUCGAUUUUAAGAAAUUAAAAAUUUCAUUCUUAAAAUCAAUCUCACAUAUAAACUUUUUUCAUGAGAGAUUUUUCUGUAAAUUGUUGUUGAAGCGAAGAUGUAACAAUUAUUUCUCUAGUAUUUCUUGCUAUCUUUGAAAUAGGUGUCAUUUUACUUAAUGAGCCAAUAAAUUUUACAGAUGGAGGCGAAGAGAUAGGUAAAACAGUAAUCUAUAAUUUGACAAUAGUUGAGUUAUAAUCUAGACUUUAUAACUUUAUAACAAACAUAAUCAUUAUAAUAAGCUUAUACAUACCUCUUUCAAUAAUUUUGGACAUUCAAGCUUAGGAUCAAAAUUAUACACCUUAUUCAUUGUAAGUUUAGUACUACUUAUCUCAAGAUUAUACUUAGUUGCCCUCGUCUUGAACAUACAAAUUUUACCUCUAAAAUCUUCAAAUAUCUCUUGGAUUUUAUAAUCUUCAUUUUUCUAAAUCAUAAGUACAAAUAUAUCAUUCAAUUAAUUUGAAUAUUAAAUAAUAUUAAAAUAAUUUUUAACUAAACACCUUAAUAGAUAUUUCAUAAUGAUCGUCAAUAUCUCUAUUAAUUAAAUCAUUUGCUUUUGUAUUGAACAGUAUGAAUAUCACCAUUCUAGAAUUAUUAUAUAUCUCAAUAUUCAACUUGCACCUAUAAAAAAUACAAAAAUCUAUAAUUAUAAAUAUAACAUAAUAAUUUAAAAUACUUUUAUUAUCAUUAUGGAAUAAUAAUUUUCUUAUAUAUCAAAUAUAAAAAAUAUAAAUACUAAUUACCUGGAAGUUGGAUUAGGGACAUCAACAUUGCAGGAAUAACAUUGAAAUUUCUUUAACUUUAGAUAGUUUCUUGUUACACCCACAUCACAUAUAGUAUCAACUAAAAGUGGUAUCAACUUUCAUGAUAGUGACUCUACUGAUAAAAGACUUUCCCUGUAUAUACCUAAUCAUCUUUAAAUCAAUCAUCAACAAAAAAAUUUUAAAAAAACUAAUAUCAUAGUUAAAGAAAUAUAAAAUAUAAGUAUAAAAAAAGAAUAACAUUUAAGCAACACAAACUAAGAAACGAUGCAAAGUGAAAAUCAAAGAGAAAAUUGAAGUAGAGUUGAGUAGUGAUCAAAAGAUAUAAAAUUAGUGAAAAGUGGUUAAAGAUGCAUUAUUCUUAACCUGUAACUAUUUAUAAAAAGGUGUGUUGUAGGUUAAUUAAUAAAAUAAUUUUAAAUUAUGAAAGUUGAUAAUGAAAUAAUAAAAAUUGUGAGUGAAUAAUGGUCUAAUAAUGGUAAGUUGAUUAAUAUUGAAAUAUUUUAUUCUGCCAUUAACAUUUACAAAUCCAUUAAUUUAGAACAAUAAAACAAAUUAUAUUUAUUGUAUUUAAUAAUGGCAAUAAAACAAAUUAAAUUUUAAUUAAAUCAAUGUACAUUAAUAUCUAGAUUUUAAAAUUAUAAAACAUUACAAAUGAAAUCAAAUGAAAUCCACAUGCAUUAAUAUUUUAUCAAAUAAAAUCAAACAUGCAUUAAUAUUUUACCAAAUGAAAUCAAAUGAAAUCAUAUUUAAUGAAAUAUAAAUCUAUCAAUCAAAUAUAAAUUAAUAAAAUAUUUUAUUCCAUUAAUUUAAUUAUGGAGAAUUAAUUUGAUAUAUUUGCUUUCUAUAUUUAUACAUAAAAUAAUACAUCAAUUACUUAAAUGAAUACUAUAUUUAAUCAAAUAUAAAUGUAUCAAAUAAUUAAUUAGAGAAUCAAUUAUUUUAUAAUUGUAAUUGUUAUAUUUAUUAAAUUAUUAAUUAUAUAUUGAUUGAUUUAAUUUAUCAAAUUAAAAAAAAUUUAAAAUUUUAAUACUUUUAAUACGAAUUGAAUUGAGAGUGAUUUAAAGUCAAUAGUACAAAUAUAAAUAUAGUCAAUUAAUAAGAUAAUUUUAAAUUAUUAAAAUUAAUAUUGAAAUAAUAAAAAUUGUGAAUGACUAAUGGUCAAACAAUGGCAAGUUGAUUGAUAUUGAAAUAUUUAUUCUGCUAUUAACAUUUAAAGAUCUCUUAAUUUAGAAUAAUAAAAUAAAUUAAAUUUAUUGUAUUCAAUAAUGGCAAUAAAAAAAUUAAAUUUAAAUUAAAUCAAUGUGCAUUAAUAUCAAAUAAUAAAAUUAUAAAACGUUACAAAUGAAAAGCAAUGAAAUCAAAUGCAUUAAUAUUUUAUCAAAUGAAAUCAUAUUUAAUGAAAAUAUAAAUGUAUCAAUCAAAUAUAAAUUAAUAAAAUAUUUCAUUCCAUUAAUUUAAUUAUGGAGAAUUAAUUUUGAUAUAUUGCUUUAUAUAUUUACGCAUGAAAUAUAUCAUGAAAUACAUCAAUUACUCAAAUGGAUACUAUAUUUAAUCAAAUAUAAAUGUGUCAAAUAAUUAAUUAGAGAAUCACUAUUUUAUAAUUAUAAUUGUAGUAUUUAUUAAUUUAUUAAUUAUAUAUUGAUUGAUUUAAUUUGUCAAAAUAAAAUUUUUAAAAUUUUAAUACUUUUAAUAUGAAUUAAAUUGAGAGUGAUUUAAAAUCAAUAAUAAAAACAUAAAUAUAAUCAAUUUAGUUUUUUGAAUUAUAUUUGAUUUAAAAAUUUAUAUAUGAAAUACAUCAAUUACUAGAUACUAUAUUUAAUCAAAUAUAAAUAUAUCAAAUACCUUAUUAGAGAAUCAACAAUUCUAUAAUUGUAAUUGUACUAUUUAUUAAUUUAUUAAUUCUAUAUUGAUUGAUUUAAUUUGUCAAAUUAAGAAAUUUUAAAAUUUUAAUACUUUUAAUAUCAAUUGAAUUGAGAGUGAUUUAAGAUUAAUAAUAAAAACAUAAAUAUAAUCAAUGUAGUUUUUUGAAUUAUUUUUAAAUUAAAAAUAUAUUAAAUAAAAUAAAAUGUAUUUAUUAGAUAUCACGUGAUAAUUUUUAAAACCAUCCAUAUAUCAACAUUUUAAGCCGUUCACGUAAGAUUUUUUCAUUUUUGUCAAAAACUUUAGCUUUUAUAUAUUUAUAUAAGAUUUCAUUGGUUAAUUAACGGCCACGUCAAUCUUCUUGUCAAUUCAUGUUAUUUUUGUCAUGUGCCUUCUUCUAUUUUUGGUUUUUUUUUCUUUCCAAUGCUCUUCUCCUAUUGAGUACUAUUGAGUACAGGUAUAUUUUAGUGUGAACACUUUUACUUUUCAAUAAUUCAUAAUAUAUAUCAAACGGUUUAGGUGGAUUUUUGAAUUUGGAUAUUUAUAACCUCUACUUCCAUAGAAAAUGAAAAACCAAUUAGGAGGCGUUUGGUUAAUGAAAUCUUAGAUUUUGAGAAAAAAAAAAAACGAUCUCGAAAAAAAUAUGAUAUUUAAGAUUUUCUUUCAUUUUCAGGAUAUCAUGUGUUUGUUUUUACUCGUUUGGUUGGAGAGAAUCUAUGUAUAUUAAUUUUUGUAUAAUUAUCAUAAUCUCCUUGAUAUAUAUGAUGGUAACUUUUCAUUUUAUUUUAUUAAUAAUAAAUACCAACAUGAAAAAUGAUGCUUUUAGCAACAAAGAAAGACAUAUUUUAUUUUAUUGUUAUUUUUAUUUAUAAAAUAUCAUCAAUUGAGAAUUUUGGCACUUUUUUUAGUAACAAAAAUUGAUAGAAAAAAUUGUUAAAAAAAUAUCAAUUAAUGUGUUUGCCAUUUCUUUUAUAUCAUAGAAAAAAUUAAAAAUGUUCCUUUAAUUCAUUAUAAAAGAUUAUUUAAGGCCUAUAUAGAAAAUGUUUUAAAUAAUUUUUUUGUAAAAAAAUGAUUAUUUAAGGCGUUUUCUGUACAAAAAUGACUUAAAUAUUCUUUUCAUUUUUUUAUAGUAUGAAUCAUUUAAUAAUUAUCCUUUAAUUUAUAAAAAGAUGAUUUAAGGCGUUUCUAUAUAAAAAACGUCUUAAAUAAUUUUUUUAUAAAAAUAUUAACCUUAAACCCUAAAAUAUUAAAAAAUUAUUUAAGACAUUUUCUAUAUAUAAACGUCUUAAAUAAUCCAUUUAUAAAAAUAUAAAAAGAUUAUUUAAGACGUUUCUGUAUAAAAAAAAUUUCUUAAAUAAUACUUAUAUAGAAAUAUAGAAUGAUUAUUUAAGGUAUUUUCUAUACAGAAAUGCCUUAUAUAAUCCAUUUAUAAAAAUAUAAAAGAAUUAUUUAAGAUAUUUUUUGGUUAAAAAACAUCUUAAAUAAAUUUUUUAUAAAAAUAUUAAGCUUAAACCCUAAAUCUUAAAAUAUAAAAGUAUUAUUUAAGGUGUUUCUUCAUGCCAAACACCUUACUUACAAUAUAAUUUUUUUUUUAUAUAAAAGUCUAUAACUAAAUUUCAGUCACUUUUAGAUAUAUUUUUUAAAAGGUAAUUAUUAUUUUAUUAAUUUUUAUUUAAAUCAAAUUUGAAAGUAAGUUAAUUUUUUUUUUCAAAAUCUUAAAAUAUCACGAAGAAAGUUGAGUUUUUGAUUUCAAAACUUUAAAUAUUGUUAAAAAAUUGAUUUUUUUUAUAAUUAAAUUAUCUUUGAACCAAAUAUAAAAAAAUAAAUAUUUAUCAUCAAAAUUCCAAAAAAAUAUUUACAAAUUUCUUUGAAUCAAACCCCGUCUUAUAAUUUUGAAGUGUGCACACGGAAUUUUAAAAAAUUAAAAUUCCAAAGAGUGAUAUCAUCCUGCCGUCAUUUUUUAUAAAAUGCAAUCUGCAAAUAUGAACGAAAAUACCCACUACCAAAAGCAUGUGGACCGACGAUGAGUCGGUCGAUCGAGGUGAUCUUAACCGCCAUAACCGAUGAGCAAUCGCUCGAUUCUCGGCCGAAAAGGUGUGAUCAAUUAUUUUGUAUAAAAUUUAAGAUAAUAUUAAUCAGAAUAAUUUUAAUAUUUUUUAAUUGACACAAUUUGUGGAGAGUGGGUCCGACCUCCUCUCCUAUGCCUUCUUUCUUGAGUUUUCCAGUGUGACCCUAUGUAAUUCUUAUUGUUUUCUCUAUUUCUUCUUUUCUCAAAAAUAUAUAUAAAAUUUAGGUAGAUGACUUCUCACUUCUUCUCCUUUAUGUAGCCACCGGUAGCAGCGGAGCAGUGUGAGCUACAGACGGCAGACCAAUUUCAGUCUCAAGAGGGUGGAUCUAGUCCCUGCACGACGAAAACUGUCAUUCCAAGCCCAUUUCCGAGCUAAUCAGUACCGGAUUUGGUCUCUUAAGGGCGCGUGUCAUAACUCUGGAUCUAGCAUCAUUUGACUGAUGGAGGUCUAGCCUGCACCUUGGUUAGACAACCAUUGCCGGCAGGGAAGUGAAAAGGGGAAAGAUGAAUAAAAGAAAAAAAUUUCUUUCAGCCAAAGGCAAACAGGCAAAACAAGUUAGACACAUUACAAUUAUCCAAGAUAAUUCCCGGUUUUCCUUGUUCGUAGAUUGCUUUCCCUCUCCUCAAGACUUUUUUAAUUCCUCUCUUGUGAUGCCUGCAUGAAUGAUGGGAUUUGCCUUCUAUGAAAACAAAAAAAACCUCUUUUUGUGUUUUAGAAUAAUUAUGAAUUAUAUUAAAUAAUAUAUUAAAAAAUUUUAAAAUUUUAGUAUCAUAUUAAAUAUUUUAUUAUAUUUUAAAAAUUAUUAAUAUUAUUUUUCAACAAAAAUGAAGAAUUUUUUAUUCAUUAAAUUAUGCUUGCAAUGAGAAUUUUGAGAGUUUAUUUGGAUCGAGUGAAAUUGAUUUUGAAAGUAUUGUGAGAAUUAUUUACAAUAAUAGUAAGAUUAAUUUUGAUAAAAUUUUGAGGAUUUAUUUGAUAUUAAUUUUAAUGAGAUAAAAAAUAAUUGUUAUAAUUUAUUAUAAUGAUUAGAUUAAAAUUAGCGGUAUAAAUAUGUUUUGGAAUAUAAAUAUAAUAAUAAUGAAAAUGAAAAUUUUUAUUUUUAUAUUAAGAUUGUCAUUUUUCUUAAGAUCCAAUUAAUAGUUGGACCGUUUAUUCUCUACUCACAAGUAGAAGAGUAACUUAAAAUAAUUAUAUCAUGAGGUACUAAUCAAAUUCAUUUCAUGUAGUACUUAACCUUAAAAACAGAGAUGAAUUUCAUUACACGGAAAAUACGGUGAAAUUCAACGGGCCGUGGAUCAUUGAAGAGUAUAAUAAAGCAAAUAGACAACCAGAGAAAAGGUAUUGUUUGAGCCAAAAACAGACAGAAAACAGGCAUAUGACAAAGAAAGAGUAAAGGGCAAAAACAAAGGUUGGAGGUGAUUUUUGCAUUUGUAACCUAACGUUCAAAUCAGUGAAAAGUAAAAAGAAGCGAAAGAGAAAAAAAUGGGAAAGAGAGUGACGGGUUAGUUGUGAGAGAAUGGAAAAUAUCUAUAUCUCAUAUGAUGUGGCGGACAAGAGUCGACCUGGAAUAGAUCCCGCCGAUAUCGAAGUAGGUGGACCAAUUGAAAAGUGGCAUGUCAGCACAUUGAUCUGGGUGAACAUGAGACGAGUUUAGGACCUACGUCGUAUAAGUGCGGAUUCGAGAAUCUCGAACACUCACCGCUUGAAUAAUGUCUGGCCACGUCAGCUUGGCACAAUGACAGAAAUACUAAGGUCAGGUAAAAGAUCAAAACGCCCAUAAGUUUUUUAGAUUUUUUUUACUUAAAAUGACUAUUUAUCAUUGAAGUUUAUUAUAUCUACAUCAGGUAUCCCCAAACUUUACAUUUAAAUAAUGGAAAAAAGGGAGCAAGGAAUUAACUUGCUUAUCUAUAUAAUUCAACGAUUGAAUUAAAUGUUUCGGUGUUGAUCUUUUUUUUUUUUCUGGAUUUUGAAAAAUGAAUAUCCAAAUUUGUUUUUUCAGUGAGCAACACAUGUUCAUACAAUUGAAAGAAUUGUUCAACAUCUUUGAUGCGAAACUUUCAAUUCACAUGAUUUACAUUUUUUCUUGUGACACGAGCACGUGAUUUGUAGUUAUACAUUCAUAUUAUAAGAAAAAUAUUAAAUUCAAAUGAAAGUAAUAAAAUAUAAGAAAUAAUAAUGAAUGAGGCCCAAACAGAAGCUAUAGUCGGAUAAUCGGUCGAUUAGCACAUUGACUGGCGUUAAAGAAAAGAAUCAUUCCAAAUCGCGCGACUCUCGGCGACAUCGCCCGUCCCUGCUAGUUUUAUAAAGUAUAUGGGAGGAAAAAGUUGGCACUAUUCCAGUGGUAAUUAAGACUCAGCAAAAAAUCAACAAUGAAUCCCUCGACUCUGAGUAGGAGGAAGUCUCCCCUGUCGCUUCCAAUUAUAAAGCCCCGUUAUCGAAAUUCCCUCAGAAACCAUCACCAGUUAUUUUCGGAAAUUUAACUCAAGGAGUUUGUCUUAUAUAUAUAUAUGUCUUUCACAAUUGAAUUCGAAUGCAAAUGUUUAAAUUUCUUUCAUUUACCUCCAACUUUUUUUAUCCGAUCAAUUCAAUAAAAUAGUAAAGCAAAACCAAAAACAAUGUUGCCAUCGUGCUACUCUUUGAAUGUCAUAAUCUUCUUUGAAAAUUGACUACAUAAUCAAUUUAAAAGGGCCCUUAUUCAUCUGGGUUAGCAGAAACAACGAGCUAGAGCAUAUACUUGAUCACAUACAAACCAUUAGCUAGAGUAUAUACUUGAUUGCAUUGAUCAUCGUGAUGCUGAGCAACCAUUUUUAUGAACUCUUGUUUGAGUUCCUAUUAGGUUUCAUGAAAGACUUCCAUUUCUAACUGAAACGGAAAUACGACAUAAUAUCUCUAACUGAAAAUUUAUUUUGCACCAGAAGGAGGGAGGAAAGUUGAAAUACCUAUGCAACCGCAUGAAAAGGCUACGAUCAGAGAUGGAAGAAAUAAGUAUGGAACAAAAAAAGAUCAGAGAAGGGCAAAGACAAGUAAGAGAAAAAUUUUAAACCAUUGAAUUGGAAUGUGGUCAACUCCGCAUGCAGACUGACCUUAUAGUGCAGCAGAGUGUGAACACCCAAAUCCGGCUUGAUUUCAUGUUCCAAAUCUUGAAGGCAAGAGAAAACCAAGAGUUUGACAAGGCAGCCAAACUCACUUUUGCUCUCCCGUACUUCUUCGGUGCAUGUCCUCUGCAUGUAGUUCUUGUCAAAAUUUGUGAUCCUGUUGCUUACAACAACCUUUUCCAUUUCUAUUUAUUGCAGAGAACUGAUGGCUAGAGAGAAUCAACAAAAG
rnacentral:lncRNA from 1 species